ACGAACGCCGGCGGCGUGCUUAACACAUGCAAGUCGAACGGAAAGGCCCUGCUUUUGUGGGGUGCUCGAGUGGCGAACGGGUGAGUAACACGUGAGUAACCUGCCCUUGACUUUGGGAUAACUUCAGGAAACUGGGGCUAAUACCGGAUAGGAGCUCCUGCUGCAUGGUGGGGGUUGGAAAGUUUCGGCGGUUGGGGAUGGACUCGCGGCUUAUCAGCUUGUUGGUGGGGUAGUGGCUUACCAAGGCUUUGACGGGUAGCCGGCCUGAGAGGGUGACCGGCCACAUUGGGACUGAGAUACGGCCCAGACUCCUACGGGAGGCAGCAGUGGGGAAUAUUGCACAAUGGGCGGAAGCCUGAUGCAGCAACGCCGCGUGCGGGAUGACGGCCUUCGGGUUGUAAACCGCUUUCGCCUGUGACGAAGCGUGAGUGACGGUAAUGGGUAAAGAAACACCGGCGAACUACGU
rnacentral:rRNA from 1 species